GAUGAACGCUGGCGGCGCGCCUAACACAUGCAAGUCGAACGGCACCCCUCCUCGGAGGGAAGCGAGUGGCGACCGGCUGAGUAACACGUGGAGAACCUGCCCCCUCCCCCGGGAUAGCCGCCCGAAAGGACGGGUAAUACCGGAUACCCCGGGGUGCCGCAUGGCACCCCGGCUAAAGCCCCGACGGGAGGGGAUGGCUCCGCGGCCCAUCAGGUAGACGGCGGGGUGACGGCCCACCGUGCCGACAACGGGUAGCCGGGUUGAGAGACCGACCGGCCAGAUGGGGACUGAGACACGGCCCAGACUCCUACGGGAGGCAGCAGUGGGGAAUCUUGCGCAAGGGGGGGAACCCGGACGCAGCGACGCCGCGUGCGGGACGGAGGCCUUCGGGUCGUAAACCGCUUUCAGCAGGGAAGAGUCAAGACUGUACCUGCAGAAGAAGCCCCGGCUAACUACGUG
rnacentral:rRNA from 1 species